GGGCCGUGCGGGGUGGCUCCAUCCUCCAGGGCCAUGCAGGGUGGCUCUGUCCUCCAGGGCCAUGCGGGGUGGCUCUGUCCUCCAGGGCCGUGCAGGGUGGCUCCGUCCUCCAGGGCCGUGCAGGGCGGCUCUGUCCUUUGAGGCUGUGCAGGGUGGCUCUGUCCUCCAGGGCCAUGCAGGGUGGCUCCGUCCUCCAGAGCCAGGCAGGUGGCUCCGUCCAGCGGCCUCCUGUCUUAAGCUCCUGAACUGCUAUCCAGAAGGGUUCGCCCCACCCAGGCAUUCUGAUCUCCGUUGCUAUGAUGUGUUUGACUCUCAAAGCAGGUGGGCACACAGGGCAGCCUUGGAGUGACAAAGACGAGCUCUGGGGUGAAGUGUGUGGGUUCGAGUCCCUGCUCUGCCCCGUCCCAGCAGGUGGCCUCUGGGGCCCAAUUUCCCUUCUUUGUAAACUAAGGUCGCAGUUGCCACAUGGGGCUGCUUCAAGAUCGGAAGCGCUGUCGUAUGCAGAGCGUGCCACAUGGCGGUGGGCACGCAGUAGCCGCUCACGAGGGAGCGGGGUCAGCCGCAGGGGCUGAGCAGCCUCGACGUGGACCUUGCUUGUGUAGUCGCUUGGAUUUGGCGUGGGAGCCAGCAUGGCCUGCACUGGUCCUUUCCAUGUGCUUCUGGGUAAACAGUGUUGAAUCAUAAAACAACAGAGCGGAGGGGAAGGGAGGAACCCCUCUCGGUUCAAAGAAACUCGCUUAAGUGAAGCCCAGGACUUUCUGAGACACUCGAAUCCUGAGAAGCAGCUGACAUCUACCAGGAAGACAGCCUGAUCUUCAAAGGUUCUUCCCAAGACCUGUGCAGUUUUGGCCGAGGUGCCGGGAAGCAGGAGUAAUGAGUAAUGAACUGAAUAAUGAGCGAAUCCCAGAGGGACACCGUGGGGCCUCUGGCAUCUCUGCUCUGUGGCUCGCUGCCCUUCCGCCCUCCCGGUGUGUGGGGACGGGACGGGACCUUUGAGUCCGGUGGCAGAUGGGAGGGGACUGAGACUUGGUGAGGCAGUGAUGGUCUCUCAAGCCCCCAGCGCCUCUGGGGGCAGGGGUGGGGGAAGGAGGGUGCAGGCACGUCCUUCCCAAACCUACCUCCGCCUCCCCUCCGGGUGGUCAGAGCCCAAGCCCUGGGACCAGCACUAAUGAUAAUAUCCCAAGAUGUCCUUGUGAGCACUGAUAAAGCACCAUAUGCUUAGUGGUCAUGGAGCCUAGUGCUAAAAGUUAGGAAAUAGGGAGAGAGAGAGAUCAAGGAGAAGGGGGCAGGGAAGGGGGAGCUUUCAAGAAUCCCUUAGGAGGGGUGCCUGGGGGGCUCUGUUGAUGAAGCAUCGGACUUCAGCUCAGGCCACGAUCUCACAGUUCGUGAGUUCAAGCCCCACGUUGGGCUCUGUGCUGACAGCUCGGAGCCUGGAUCCUGCUUCGGAUUCUGUGUCUCCCUCUCCCUCUGCCCCUCCCCUGCUCACGCUCUGACUCUCUGUCUUUCAAUAAUAAAUAAGCAUUAAAAACAAAUUAAAAAAAAAAAGACAGUAGGGCGCUCCUCAGGGCACCUGGGUGGCUCAGUCAGUUAAGCGGCCAACUUCCGCUCAGGUCAUGAUCUCGCGGUUCGUGAGUUCAAGCCCCGCGUUGGGCUCUGUGCUAACAGCUCAGAGCCUGGAGCCUGCUUCUGAUUCUGUGUCUCCCUCUUUCUGCCUCUCCCUUGCUCGUGCUUUGCCUCUCUCUCUCUUUCUCUCUCUCUCUCUCUCUCUCUCUCUGUCUCUCAAAAAUAAACAUUAAAAAAAAUUUUUAAAUAAUAAAAAAAUAAAGAAUCCUAGCCUGCAAAGGAUCUCGACCUUCGCAGUAAGUUAACGCUACUUUCGAAAGGCUUAAAGUAGCCACAUCACUUGCCUGUGCCUUCCCACUGCCUCUGCGUGAGUUUCCCAUCCAGAUGGGGGGUCCGGACCGCCACACCCCCUGGGUCCCCAGAGGAGUGCUUUGCUUGCUGGUCCAGAAACGGAAGGAGCAGGAGCUUCGUGGGUCCCAAACGCGGCGGGGGCUCGGGUGUGACUCCCAAUCCUCUGUCUGCAGCCUGCUCGCUGGGCCGGCACACCGGACGUGUCCCCGAGUAACGAGGGCCGUGGGGACUGCUGCCCCCCCGUCCUGCGUUGCUGUCUCUGACCGUAAAAGUCACCGUGGGUGACAGGCACUCUAGCUUCGGGUCUCCGAGCUGCCUUUGUAAGUGUGUGUGCAAGAAGAGUGACCCUUGUGCCAUUGGUGCGUGCACACACACACGUGCACCCCGGCACACAGGCCAGAUGCGUCCGCUCCACCUGCACACCUCAGCCCUGGCCACCCUCGACCCCCGUCUUCCUCUGCAGGUGGCGAAGGUGUCUCUCACUUCCUGCCCACAACCCCCCCCGGCCCCAGGCUCACUGCCUGAGAAGUGUGUUUGGGGGCGGAGGACAGGAAGAAGGGGGAAAGGCAGGAAUGAGAUCCCUCGCUGCCCCUACAGCACGCUGGCCUGCCAGGUGCCCCCGAGGAGGAACCCGCGAGCACUGCCCGUAGGGACCGGCGCCCGUCUGACGACAGCCAGCCUGCUCCUGCACCCCGGGGCUCACCAGCCCCCGAGCCGCUCUUCCUGACCCUCCUGUGCCUUUGCUGAGUCACCUGUUGCUUGGAAUUCUGGCAGGGACCCCUCAGAGCUUCUGGAAGGGAGGGCCAGCAGGGGACCCACCCUCUGGGUGUCCCGGGGAAGAUUACUUUAUCUGUGGCCUCCUUGAAGCAGAGCCCGGGCUCCUGGAAUCUUUGGGGCUUGACACGGUGCCAGCCGCGGGGAAGGGAGGGAAUGGCCAAGAGUGUUUGCCGAGCCUGGCAGGGGGCCGUGUCCGCACCUGGAGGAAGGCGACAGUGCUGAUUCUGUCCUCCUCAGCCCUUCCCCCUUUCUCGGCCAGCAGCAACAUCCCCUGCCGUCUCCCCGCUGCGUUCAAGGCCCCCGCAGCGACCACCCUUGGGGACAAUCAGUGGCAGUUGUUUGCUUUACUCUGCAGAACCUCAUUUCGGUGCCGUGCUCUCCUCCCGCCUGGCAGCGAGGGUUCAGUAAGACCGUGUCAGCGGGAAAACCACAUGUGACACAUGUGUGCAGCCAGGUCCGCUGGAGCACAUGCCUGGACGGCUGAUGGACGCCCGGUGUCCCUGUCCUUGCCCGGACCUGGACGCGUCCACUGGCCAAGGAGACACCUGGGUGGCCACCACUGCCCGUUGGCACGGCUGCUUUGUAGAAUGUCCCUCCCUUCCUGUUUUGGCCUGUGUGAUACAAACCUCCCUCCCUGUGAGAUUCGGGAGGGGAAAGGACAUUCGCGUCAUCACUUCUGCCCGGGGCCCCACACUCGCUCAUCCCCCGGCUCGCGGCGGGACCCUCCUGGCGUGUCAGUAUUGGUGCACCUCCUCCUACCUCCUUCAGCCCUUCUUCCGGGCCCCAAGGUGACCCUUUCCUUCUCCCUUUGUAAGCCUGGGUCACACUCUCACACUGUGUUCUUAUCACCACCUCCCCACUUUCUCCCCUUCAUGAUUUCUCUAGAUUUGUUAUAGGGCUUGGAGGUGAAUUUCAGAAAAUUUCAUCUUGACCCUUGUGUAUACCCGCUGUCUUCAGGACAGGCAAAUCUUGGGGCGCCCGGGGGGCUCAGUCGGUUGAGCGUCCGAUUCUUUGAUUUCAGCUCAGGUCAUGAUCUCAGGGGCGUAAAUUCGAGCCCUGUGUCGGGCUUUGCGCUGACAGUGUGGAGCCUGCUUGAGAUUCUCUCUCUCUCUCUCUCUCUCUCUCUCUCUCUCCCUCUCUCUGCACCUCCCUUACUUAUGUGCUCACUCGCUCGCUCUCUCUCAAAAUACAUAAACGUUUAAAAAAGAAGCAGCAAAUCUUAUUUUUACCAAAAAAAGUUACUUUUUCAUUAAAAAAAAAAAUGAAAAAGCAAGGAGGACAUAACUAUCCCUCAACUGUCCUUGAGUCUGGUGAGGGUUUCAUCCCCAGGUUGUGAUGAACUUUGUCCCAGGGGGUGGGUGAUGGGAGGCUGCGGGGUCACCAAAGCGGCGACUCUGACGGAGCUUCCCAUCAACAGAAUCGUGGCGCCUGAACCUGCCAUAUUCUCCCUUGGACCCUUCGGAAAGAAAGUCUUUGCUUCCUGUUUUCCCCUUUCUAAACUACAGGUCUGUGAGUCAGCUUUUCUUCUCUCCUACUUAGCUCACUGUGCGGCAUUACAAGCAUAUUCAGAAAACAUCAACCACAGUAGGAGAGGUCCCCGGCUGUGCCGUGUGCAGGGAGAGAGGGUCGGAAGCUGGCUUUUCCUUGGGGGGUCAGCUCUGUGUGCCGUCUGCUCCGGAAGGCAGCUCUGACAGCCGCAAUUUGAAGUAAAGCAAAGUGGACUUCAGCCCAUCGCAGUCAGGUCCCAAUAGAAGCAACCAGAAUUGUCCCACCACCUGGCAGUUCGCCUGAAACACGGUCAGAGUGCUUCCCAGACAGACAGGAGCACCCAGCAGGAGUAUUUGGGACGAAAGCCUGCGUAGACUCAAAAUUCCAAGGUGCCAAGAGCAGUUUCCCUGAGGACAUCUGUCCUGGUCAUGGCAGGUCCCACAAAGCGUUGGUUUUCCACGUUGGCACCUGUCAGUGGGCCACGGCUGAUCCCAGAAGCCCCGAAUCUUUGUUGCCGAGAUACGUGUCUCUCUUUAUCUGCUGGUGUCUUUCCACUGAGAAAAAAAGCUACGGCCCACCAAGCGCCUGAGUCUUCACGUGAACCAGACAGAAUAGAUACGAUUAUUCCCACUUGGUGGGUGAGGAAACCAAGGCUUGGAGUUGGUCGCGUUGAGUGUACGGUCCACACAGCUGAUGGGAGGCAGGGCCGAGCGCCAGUCACGCCUCUGACCUGAAGCCCCCUGCACCGCACUGUCCAGGAGCCACACACCCCCCCCCCAUGAGUUGAUAGGACUCAGCACACAGCAGGAGCCCAGCGACCCAUCCAGAGUGAAAGCCAGUCCGCACGUGCUCGGUUAUGUGAACUGCAGGAGGGUCCAGCCUGGAACAAACCCCGGCAAGAGUGAUCUCCCCCGUUCCUAGCUUGCUCCCCGAUAUACUAGGUGCCCCGGGAGCCUCACGCAUAACCGACCCAGGAAACACAGUGCUUUCUGCCACAUACUUGGCAGCUUCUCCCUGGAGGUGCGUGAACUUCUGAAAACGUUUAUGUGAUCGGAUGGCUGUCUUCAGAAAGUAGUAGUAAAGUCUGUUGACUCAGCAGUCCCGUGAUGAGUACCUUGAACACUGUAGGCGAUGCGCAGGAGGAAGGGAAGAAAAUACUUGUAGCCUCUUAAUCUGAGCACAGAAGUUGGGCUCAGGGGCACCUGGGCGGCUCGGGUCACGGGCUCGCAGUUCGUGGGUUCGAGCCCUGCGUCGGGCUCUGUGCUGACAGCUCGGAGCCCGGAGCCUGCUUCGGAUUCUGCGUCUCCCUCUUUAGUUAGUAGAUAAUUAUACGCACAGCUGAGUGAAGGUAUCUGCAAAUGAGGCGGGUUUGAUUUUCCUUGCGUGUUUCCAUCAGGUGCGUGCCUUUGAUGAUCUGAAUGGGAUGAUUGGCUGGGAGAGUCACUGUCACUGCUGACCGGUCCUGGAGGGACCUAGACCCAGGACUCGGGAUCUGGGCCUCACAGUACCGGUGCAGACCAGUGGAAGUUUGGGGAGUGGAUGUGAGCGGAGGAAGGCAGGCUUUAGCAUGACCGUCGCAGGGCAGCAGGCAAGAUCGACCAGAAGACGGGCCCGAAGGCAUGGACCACAGGAUGUAUACCCACCUCCGUGCCAGGCGGUGACAGGAAGUGCUGGCAGGAUGUGGCAAAGGCUGAGGCAGCCUUGGCUGGGUGGCGGUGCUGGGAAGGGACGUGACUGGAAAGCAGGAAGAGAAAAGCCUGCAGAAGCUCGGGAGAAGUGGGCGGGAAGGUCAGGGUGGAGGUGAGACCCCCACAUGCGUUAGAACUUGGGGAAUCCAGAACCGAGCGCCGUGGGCAUAGGCGGGAUAGAAGAAGGCUAGCUGGGUCUGGAGAAAGACCUUGAGUUUGGAUUUGGGUAGCCGGGCGGUGACAGAGCCCAGGUGAGUUCCCACAGCCGGGAGCGUCUGGUGCAUGUCUGCUGCCUUCUUUUACAAACAUUUUGUGUGCCCGUUGGUGCGUGGCAUAUGGCUGGGGCCAUGCAGGGGACAGGGCUGAGUGAGACACCCAUCACCUGAGCCCCAGCGCCCUCAAAGCCUGGAAAGAAGGUGGUUUGACUUCACACCAGCGCCUGCCCCCGGCUCUCCAUCUGUGGGUCAGACUUUAAGCUUGUCUGCAGUUCAGCCCCCUCUUCCGUAAGGCUGGAGCAGUCAGGAGACAUCAGCUGGCACUCUCUCCUCCCCUGGUAGAACCUGGAGGGUUAAGAAACAAAUAUCCAUCUCCUGGGAGUGCGUAGGUAUGGACAAAUUUCAAGAGAAUCCAGAUUUGGUACCUGUUCAGGUUAACUAGUUCUCUAGCGGGAGCACGGCCAUGCUGUUUGCGCUCCAGUGAUGGUCACCCGGUCCUGCCCUUUGCCUCUCUUUACCAUCCCUAUCGGGGACCCUCUGGCUGGCACAGGGACAGGAAACGCUAGAUGUGUAAGCCUUGCAAAGGUCACUGCAAACCACACUGACACCAGUGAAUAGCACACUAAUGAUCCGACGGUGCCCAACAGACUAAUGUGAUUGGAAGAAUACGUAUAAAAGUCAGACUCCGGCAUAUUUCUGAAUUCUAAAUACAAAUCUAAACGUGUUUACUCUCCCCAGAAAAUUGUCAGUGUCCUUUGGCUAGAAAGUAGAGCCGACUUCCUCCUCCUGUUUUGAAGAUCUCGGGUCUGUCUUAAUGUCUCCCUGAACUGACAACAUCAUGAGAAGUUUACGGGCACAACCCAACGCAAACUGAAAAGUGUGGUUUGUGGGCAUUUAAUCUGUUUUUCCAGGACGUUCGUCAAUUUGGCAAUCCGAAUAGAAUUCAGAAUCUGAGGCACCCACAGCGUUUUCUUUGAAAAUAUUAGUGACAAUGUGGUGAAUUGAAAACUCCUAACCAAAUGAACUCAGUUUGUUCUUGACAAGAAAAAUGCGUUUUGUGACAUUCAGAAAAUUUAAAAUACAUUGAGUCUUUUUUUCUUUUUUUCUUUCUUUUUUUUUUAAUCUGUACCCUUUUGUAAAACAACGGCCUAAAGUUUGGGGUGGAAUUUACUAAGGAACCGAAGACGGGCCUGAAAGCCCAUCGGGAGAUAGUCACUUCCCGGCUCCCACGGGCUUCUAGCACCAUCGAGAAGGUCUGCUUUGCCACGAGUGUUAGGCUCACGAGCAGCACUGAGAUAAGGGACAGGACAGGUCUGCACCUGUAAGACAUCUGCCCGCAUGAGUGAGAAGGAGGGUUUUGUGGCCCAUCUGAUUGCAUGACCCCUGGAACAGCCUGCUCAGGGAAGGAGAGGGACUCAUGAGACACUGUGACGGGGCCCAGAUGAGCUGGGGUGGGGAAGCCACACGGAGGGCAGUGCCGGGGGGCCGCGCUUUCCAAAUCGCUCGUUGUUAACUCAUUUCAUCUUGCGGGGGACUAUUGAUCAAUGCACUGUGACUCCCACGGGCAGGUGAGUAUAUGUGUGUGUGCGUGCACACCUAAGUGUGAACGUGCGUAUGCAGCUGUGGUAACACCCUUCCUGAUGCCUCUCAAGCACUAUGGAAGAGAAAACACAGCUUCUCAAAGGCCCUUCCUGCACAGGGAGAAUGUGUGUUUGGAAUACUGGCUGUAAUGCAUUCAUUAGAUAUAGUCUCAGAUUUGCGCAUUUACAUGCUAACCUCCAGGAGGACAGGUUCCAGAACUUCUGCAGAGCCCCAGUCUCCUCUCUGAUAAACUAGUGAUAGUUCCUGCCACGUAGGAUGGUGGUGAAGAUAAAAGGCAGUUUAUGGAAAGUUCUUUGCAAGUACCUGGCCUUUACAAAACCCCCCACUGAAUGCCUUCCAUGAAAAUAGACUGAAAUAGAAUAGGGUAGGACCUGACAGGACAGACAUAGGAUGGAACUGGACUGGACAAGACGGGACCAGGCAGCACCAGUCAGGACAGGACCAGACAGAACAAGACAGGACCAGACUGGACAGAACAGGACAGGAUAGGACCAGAUAGGAUAGGACCAGACUGGACAGGACAAAAGUGGACAAAACUGGACAGGACAGGAUAGGACCAGAUAAGACAGGACCAGGCUGGACAGGACGGGACAAGGUGAGUGUCACAUUCUCCUGUUGUGCGUAAUUACCGUCCAUAAGGAGGCCACGUCCUUCUGAACCGAGAAGUCGGUUGUGCACAAACGCGUGUGGUGCGUGAGUGAGUGCGAACUCCUAUUGGCUCAGGUUUCGUAGGGGGGGGAGUAGAGUAACUCUGUAGCUACAGCCGUGUUCUGUUUUUUAAACUUGGUGUCCAUUUUAGGGAAUCAAAUAUGAAGGACAAACAUGAUAAAGCUCGUCUGAAUUGUGGUCGCGUCACGAUGCAGACAAGCUGUGUCCUAAGAGGACACCCGGGGAAACUGACCUCCCAGUCGCGUCACGCUGAGGCCCCAAAGCAGCAAUCUUGAACAAUAUCUCGGGGCGUGUGGCCGCGAUGCCUUUUCUUCUGUCUUCUAUCAUGUAUGGUGAUGCCCCCGUUUUCAAAAGGCAAUACGUCGCCCUUUAAAUACCCCCAUUAUCUGAGAUGGUUGCACCCCUGCGCACAGAGAGCCAGAGAUUGGAAAAGGUGACUCAGGGAGUCGAAGCUCAGUGCAGAGCCCGCUGAAAAAUCGGCCUCAUUUUGCUGGCUGGCUGUGGACACCGAGCACAUGUGCGCCCGGGCAAGCCACCGCUGACCUGCCUGUUCCACGUGGGCCAUGUGACACUGACUGUCUCUGUGAGGUUUAGACCAUCAAGGGACAGUGUAAAUGAGGCUGAGGGUUUGCUAGGAAAUGAUUAAGGUGGUCACUUCGAGGAGCACCUUUGAGAGUCUCUCUCCAAAGAUGCUUGCCCAUUAUCCCAGUAUUUUAGUCAAUAUUUCACGGGAAGCACGGAGAGGGUCUGUAGUCAGAGGAGUGUGGAAGCUGAAACGGGUACCAGCAACGUCCGGGAGGUCCGUUUCCUGUGGGAACACCAUCGUCUUGCCUCUGCUAGUUCGGUGGCUGCUCCAACAAGUUUAAUUUAGCAGCCAGGCUGCGCUCGCCACGCUGACAGACGUCGGGAUGCCCCCCCUUGGAGAGAAAACUCCGUGUGCGUGUGUGCACGCACACACGUGUCUCCACGCGUGCCUCCAUGGGUGCGCGUGGGUGGCAGCUACUAAGCCUUCAGACAUAGACACAUGUCGGGAAGCUCUGACCUACAAACACAGAGCAAGGACUUGAAGAUCUGA